GACGAACCGAGCGAACGUUGUUCGGAAUAACUGGGCUUAAAGGGCGCGUAGGCGGGCCGCCAAGUUCGAGGUGAAAUCCUCCGGCUCAACCGGAGAACUGCCUCGAAUACUGGAGGCCUCGAGGGUGGUAGGGGCACGCGGAACUGUGGGUGGAGCGGUGAAAUGCGUUGAUAUCCACAGGAACUCCGGUGGCGAAGGCGGCGUGCUGGACCACAUCUGACGCUGAGGCGCGAAAGCCAGGGGAGCAAACGGGAUUAGAAACCCCCGUAGUCC
rnacentral:rRNA from 1 species